GAUCAUGGCUCAGGAUGAACGCUGGCGGCGUGCCUAAUACAUGCAAGUAGAGCGCUGAAGGAAGGAGCUUGCUCUUUCCGGAUGAGUUGCGAACGGGUGAGUAACGCGUAGGUAACCUGCCUGGUAGCGGGGGAUAACUAUUGGAAACGAUAGCUAAUACCGCAUAACAGUAGAUGUUGCAUGAUAUCUGCUUGAAAGGUGCAAUUGCAUCACUACCAGAUGG
rnacentral:rRNA from 1 species